rnacentral:rRNA from 1 species
UACGUAGGGCGCAAGCGUUAUUCGGAAUUACUGGGCGUAAAGCGUGCGCAGGCGGCUAUGCAAGUCAGAUGUGAAAUCCCCGGGCUCAACCUGGGAACUGCAUUUGUGACUGAAUAGCUAGAGUACGGUAGAGGGGGAUGGAAUUCCGCGUGUAGCAGUGAAAUGCGUAGAUAUGCGGAGGAACACCGAUGGCGAAGGCGAUCCCCUGGACCUGUACUGACGCUCAUGCACGAAAGCGUGGGGAGCAAACAGG